AAACACAAAUAUGGCGGAUCGUGAAGUUGUCACGUUGUGCUGUAAACAACGACUUUUCUUCGUAUCUACAAGCCUGUCACGAUGUCUUAUCUCUGGCAGUUAUGGGUGAAUAUACAGCAAAAUCAUACAGAUUUGGAUGAAGAUGUUAAAGAUAGUAAAGUCAACGACAGUUUGAUGAACCAAAUGACACUGAUAAAGAAGAAGAUACAAAAAAAGAUACUUCUAGCCAGGCAUGUGACUUUGAAGCUGAUAGUUUGGUAACCACCUGAGAGAUAUAUAACCUGUAUGCAGGUGAUGACGGUAUAGGAGAGCCAUUUCUUAUAACGUGCUCUGAGGAAUAUAUGUUUUAUUUUGUCGAAAUGAAAUGCGAAGUGAAAAAUUAAAUUGACAGAUGAAGAAAAUUUACCACUCCAUCCUUCUGCAUGUAUGGUCUUCUGAAUUCAAAGCCAUUUGAAAACCAACUUUAAGUUAAGAGGAACACUUUAUUUUCAGUGAAACAUUCUGGAAAAUAUUACUUCUACAUAGAAAGAAAAAGUUGUAUUAAUACUUGAUGUUGUAUUGCAAGAUGGCCAAGUUUGUAUGACCAGUGCUUUCGAGAAAAAAAACUAUGCUUGCACUCAGUUUCCCAUGAACGAAGCAAUCUAAAGAUUAAGUGUAGAAUUUAAUUCUAAUGGAUAAAAA